rnacentral:lncRNA from 1 species
CAAGAUUUGCAAAACAUUUGUCUGCAUAACCAUCUAUUGCGGAAGCUUCCGGUUCAAUAUGUCGUAUUUGACGUUCCGAUUGUCGACUUGAAACUGAUAUUGGUCCAGUUUAGUAGUUGAAGAUUUAUCUUCAAUUAGCAAUAUCUCAAAAGACUUUUUAUAUCAGCAUCUUAUUCUGAACUGUUUCAUUUCCUUUGUUUCGAUGUUACUGCGAGCAACUAAUCCUAUAUCUGUGUUUGUCUUGUUUAUAGCCUAUUGAAUUAGAAAUUAAAUGCUGUAAAUUCGGACGAGCAGGGCGAGGGAGAAUUUAAAUGUAUUUUAUUUCGUUUGAAAUAGGGGUUUUCCCGUUUGCUAUUUGUAGUUAAUAUUUACAGAUGGGAACUAGUAUAACUAGUUCGGAUACUGGUUUUGUAACAGUAUGUACUAUUUAUAAGUUUGACGUUAGGUGCAGGAGGCACGAGGAAAGUUUUGGCGGUUUUUAUGGGUGGGGUUUAAAGGUACUAUAUAAAGUUUGGGAUUUAAAUGUAUUAGUAUCGAAGGUGCUCGCAGUUACGUCGG